GCAGAGCACUCUUACGGGAGGCAGCAGUGGGGAAUAUUGCACAAUGGGCGCAAGCCUGAUGCAGCCAUGCCGCGUGUAUGAAGAAGGCCUUCGGGUUGUAAAGUACUUUCAGCAGUGAGGAAGGUGGGUAUGUUAAUAGCAUAUUCAUUUGACGUUAGCUGCAGAAGAAGCACCGGCUAACUCCGUGCCAGCAGCCGCGGUAAUACGGAGGGUGCGAGCGUUAAUCGGAAUUACUGGGCGUAAAGCGCAUGCAGGUGGUUUGUUAAGUCAGAUGUGAAAGCCCGGGGCUCAACCUCGGAAUUGCAUUUGAAACUGGCAAACUAGAGUACUGUAGAGGGGGUAGAAUUUCAGGUGUAGCGGUGAAAUGCGUAGAGAUCUGAAGGAAUACCGGUGGCGAAGGCGGCCCCCUGGACAGAUACUGACACUCAGAUGCGAAAGCGUGGGGAGCAAACAGGAUUAGAUACCCUGGUAG
rnacentral:rRNA from 1 species